CUUGAACAGAACACAUUAGAUCAACUUGAAGAGAACAAGUUAGGGUCUACUUGAAGAGGACAGGUUAGGGUCUACUUGAAGAGGACAGGUUAGGGUCUACUUGAAGAGGACAGGUUAGGGUCUACUUGAAGAGGACAGGUUAGGGUCUACUUGAAGAGGACAGGUUAGGGUUUACUUGAAGAGGACAGGUUAGGGUUUACUUGAAGAGGACAGGUUAGGGUCUACUUGAAGAGGACAGGUUAGGGUCUACUCGAAGAGGACAGGUUAGGGUCUACUCGAAGAGGACAGGUUAGGGUCUACUUGAAGUGGACAGGUUAGGGUCUACUUGAAGAGGACAGGUUAGGGUCUACUCGAAGAGGACAGGUUAGGGUCUACUCGAAGAGGACAGGUUAGGGUCUACUUGAAGAGGACAGGUUAGGGUCUACUCGAAGAGGACAGGUUAGGGUCUACUCGAAGAGGACAGGUUAGGGUCUACUCAAAGAGGACAGGUUAGGGUCUACUCGAAGAGGACAGGUUAGGGUCUACUCGAAGAGGACAGGUUAGGGUCUCCUUGAAGUGGACAGGUUAGGGUCUACUUGAAGAGGACAGGUUAGGGUCUACUCGAAGAGGACAGGUUAGGGUCUACUGCCACGUUACUUCAUUGAUGCAGUGUUAAUCUCUCAGAAACCUGAUAUGCCUGAUAUAGUCUAUCAUUACGACCGUAGAGACAGGGAGACCAUACAUAGCACUCUUAUUCCCUCCUCCCCUCUGCUCCUCAUCUGACCCACAGUCAUCCUCAUAUCUCAUUCUUCCCCCUCCCCUCAUCUGACCCACAGUCAUCCUCAUAUCUCAUUCUUCCCCCUCCCCUCUCCUCAUCUGACCCACAGUCAUCCUCAUAUCUCAUUCUUCCCCCCCUCCUCCUCAUCUGACCCACAGUCAUCCUCAUAUCUCAUUCUUCCCCCUCCCCUCUGCUCCUCAUCUGACCCACAGUCAUCCUCAUAUCUCAUUCUUCCCCCUCUCCUCUGCUCCUCAUCUGACCCACAGUCAUCCUCAUAUCUCAUUCUUCCCCCUCCCCUCUCCUCUGCUCCUUGUGUGUGUUUUUUACGUGACCCACUCAGCUUACCGUCACUAAACCUCACAGAGAAUCAAAACAUCUCCACCUCCACUGUCCAGUCUCAAUGGCCCUUUUUGUCCUCUCUCCUCUCCUCUUUUCACCUCUCCACCAUCCCGUCUCCUAUUCAUUAAACUGCUGGUUCAUUUGGGUAGUCUCUCGUCCCGGGGAUGGAGGAGAGGAGGAGGAGGAGAUGGGGAUGGAGGA